rnacentral:rRNA from 1 species
CGGGUGAAAAGCCCGCUCGCCGGAAGACCAAGGGUUCCUGUCCAACGUUAAUCGGGGCAGGGUGAGUCGACCCCUAAGGCGAGGCCGAAAGGCGUAGUCGAUGGGAAACAGGUUAAUAUUCCUGUACUUGGUGUUACUGCGAAGGGGGGACGGAGAAGGCUAUGUUAGCCGGGCGACGGUUGUCCCGGUUUAAGCAUGUAGGCUGAUUGUCCAGGCAAAUCCGGAUAAUCAAGGCUGAGGUGUGAUGACGAGGCACUACGGUGCUGAAGUAACAAAUGCCCUGCUUCCAGGAAAAGCCUCUAAGCAUCAGGUAACAUUAAAUCGUACCCCAAACCGACACAGGUGGUCAGGUAGAGAAUACCAAGGCGCUUGAGAGAACUCGGGUGAAGGAACUAGGCAAAAUGGUGCCGUAACUUCGGGAGAAGGCACGCUGGUGUGUAGGUGAAG